rnacentral:rRNA from 1 species
UACGUAGGUGGCAAGCGUUGUCCGGAUUUAUUGGGUUUAAAGGGUGCGUAGGCGGUCUUAUAAGUCAGUUGUGAAAUACGGCAGCUUAACUGUCGAGGUGCAAUUGAUACUGUAAGACUUGAGUACUGUUGAGGUAGGCGGAAUGGACGGUGUAGCGGUGAAAUGCUUAGAGAUCGUCCAGAACACCGAUAGCGAAGGCAGCUUACUAAAGAGUAACUGACGCUGAGGCACGAAAGUGUGGGGAGCGAACAGG